rnacentral:misc_RNA from 1 species
AUUCAAACAAACUUACAUGUACAUGAGUUUAAUUUAAAUACAUAACAGCACAACAGACCUAGUUUUGAGGUCUACAUUGUACAAUCAAUUGAUAGCAAACAUCAUAGUAUAUUUUCAAGGCAAUAUUCUACAAACAUAUCUUGAUGCAAAGCUAUGAAGGAUUACACCUUACAAAAAGCAUAAAAAACAAGCUUUAUGCUUUCAGAGAAAAGGAUCUAUUACCUACAGUCGACUUCUGGAGCUGCGAAUAUACGCUGAAACAACCAUUGAAAUGGUCUCAGGAAUUGUGCUUUUUGCUUCCGACAGAACCAAAUGGCUGCACUGUACUGUUCGUUACGAAUUGUUCUUGUUGCAGCCUUCCAGUCAUAUUUCUCCAUUUCUAUACGUGCAGCUUUUCCCAUGGUUUCCCUCAAUUCUGUAUCGCGCAAAAGAGGCACUAGUUUACUCAUGCAGUCGUCAAGGUCCCCAGGAGUAAACAGAUAUCCAAUCUUGCCCUGCUGAUCAUCAGGAAUGAUGUCUGGAACUCCCCCGGCACGGGCAGCCACUACAGGAAGCCCUGAUGACAUGGCCUCCAAAACGACGAGCCCCAAUGUCUCCGACUCUGAAGGCAUAAGAAAAACAUCUCCACUGGCAUAUGCUUGGGAAAGCUCCUCCCCUAGUAAUGUACCUGUGAACACGGCUGGCAUGCCCUGGAACAUUUUCUCCAAUUCCUCCCUGUAUGGCCCAUCUCCAAUAAAAGCUAUCCGAG